rnacentral:rRNA from 2 species
GCUCAGGAUGAACGCUGGCUGUGUGCCUAAUACAUGCAUGUCGAGCGAGGUUCUUUUGAACCUAGCGGCGAAUGGGUGAGUAACACGUGCUUAAUCUACCCUUUAGAUUGGAAUACCCAAUGGAAACAUUGGCUAAUGCCGGAUACGCAUGGAAUCGCAUGAUUCCGUUGUGAAAGGAGCCUUUAAAGCUCCGCUAGAGGAUGAGGGUGCGGAACAUUAGUUAGUUGGUAGGGUAAUGGCCUACCAAGACUAUGAUGUUUAGCCGGGUCGAGAGACUGAACGGCCACAUUGGGACUGAGAUACGGCCCAAACUCCUACGGGAGGCAGCAGUAGGGAAUAUUCCACAAUGAGCGAAAGCUUGAUGGAGCGACACAGCGUGCACGAUGAAGGUCUUCGGAUUGUAAAGUGCUGUUAUAGGGAAAGAACACCUGGUUGAGGAAAUGCUUCCAGGCUGACGGUACCCUGUCAGAAAGCGAUGGCUAACUAUGUGCCAGCAGCCGCGGUAAUACAUAGGUCGCAAGCGUUAUCCGGAAUUAUUGGGCGUAAAGCGUUCGUAGGCUGUUUAUUAAGUCUGGAGUCAAAUCCCAGGGCUCAACCCUGGCUCGCUUUGGAUACUGGUAAACUAGAGUUAGAUAGAGGUAAGCGGAAUUCCAUGUGAAGCGGUGAAAUGCGUAGAUAUAUGGAAGAACACCAAAGGCGAAGGCAGCUUACUGGGUCUAUACUGACGCUGAGGGACGAAAGCGUGGGGAGCAAACAGGAUUAGAUACCCUGGUAGUCCACGCCGUAAACGAUGAUCAUUAGUCGGUGGAGAGUUCACUGACGCAGCUAACGCAUUAAAUGAUCCGCCUGAGUAGUAUGCUCGCAAGAGUGAAACUUAAAGGAAUUGACGGGGACCCGCACAAGCGGUGGAGCAUGUGGUUUAAUUUGAAGAUACGCGGAGAACCUUACCCACUCUUGACAUCCUUCGCAAUGCUAUAGAGAUAUAGCGGAGGUUAACGGAGUGACAGAUGGUGCAUGGUUGUCGUCAGCUCGUGUCGUGAGAUGUUUGGUCAAGUCCUGCAACGAGCGCAACCCCUAUCUUUAGUUACUAACGAGUCAUGUCGAGGACUCUAGAGAUACUGCCUGGGUAACUGGGAGGAAGGUGGGGAUGACGUCAAAUCAUCAUGCCUCUUACGAGUGGGGCAACACACGUGCUACAAUGGNCGGUACAAAGAGAAGCAAUAUGGCGACAUGGAGCAAAUCUCAAAAAGCCGAUCUCAGUUCGGAUUGGAGUCUGCAAUUCGACUCCAUGAAGUCGGAAUCGCUAGUAAUCGCAGAUCAGCUACGCUGCGGUGAAUACGUUCUCGGGUCUUGUACACACCGCCCGUCACACCAUGGGAGCUGGUAAUACCCAAAGUCGGUUAGCUAACCUCGGAGGCGACCGCCUAAGGUAGGACUGGUGACUGGGGUGAAGUCGUAACAAGGUAUCCCUAC